UGCCUCAGUAACGGCGAGUGAAGCGGCAACAGCUCAAAUUUUAAAGCUGGCGUCUUUGGCGUCCGCGUUGUAAUUUGGAGAGGCAUCUUCGGUUUGGGCGCCAGCCUAUGUUCCUUGGAACAGGACGUCACAGAGGGUGAGAAUCCCGUGCCUGGCUGGCUGUCCCUUUCCAUGUGAAGUGCCUUCGACGAGUCGAGUUGUUUGGGAAUGCAGCUCAAAAUGGGUGGUAAAUUUCAUCUAAAGCUAAAUAUUGGCGGGAGACCGAUAGCGCACAAGUAGAGUGAUCGAAAGAUGAAAAGCACUUUGAAAAUAGAGUUAAAAAGUACGUGAAAUUGUUGAAAGGGAAGCGCUUGAGACCAGACUCGGCCGGAGAUGAUCAGCCGUCCUUCUGGGCGGUGCACUCGUUUCCGGCCGGGCCAGCAUCGGUUGAGACGGCGGGAUAAAGGCCCGGGGAAUGUGGCUCCUUUCGGGGAGUGUUAUAGCCCCGGGCGCAAUGCCGCCAGCCUCGACCGAGGACCGCGCUUAAUUGCUAGGAUGCUGGCGUAAUGGUCUUCAGCGACCCGUCUUGAAACACGGACCAAGGAGUCUAACAUCUAUGCGAGUGUUUGGGUGUCAAACCCUUGCGCGUAAUGAAAGUGAACGGAGGUGGGAACCCCUCGCGGGGCGCACCAUCGACCGGUCCUGAUGUCUUCGGAUGGAUCUGAGUAGGAGCAUAGCUGUUGGGACCCGAAAGAUGGUGAACUAUGCCUG
rnacentral:rRNA from 1 species